GACGAACGCUGGCGGCGUGCUUAACACAUGCAAGUCGAACGGAAAGGCCCUGCUUUUGUGGGGUGCUCGAGUGGCGAACGGGUGAGUAACACGUGAGUAACCUUCCCUUGACUUUGGGAUAACUUCAGGAAACUGGGGCUAAUACCGGAUAGGAGCUCCUGCUGCAUGGUGGGGGUUGGAAAGUUUCGGCGGUUGGGGAUGGACUCGCGGCUUAUCAGCUUGUUGGUGGGGUAGUGGCUUACCAAGGCUUUGACGGGUAGCCGGCCUGAGAGGGUGACCGGCCACAUUGGGACUGAGAUACGGCCCAGACUACUACGGGAGGCAGCAGUGGGGAAUAUUGCACAAUGGGCGGAAGCCUGAUGCAGCAACGCCGCGUGCGGGAUGACGGCCUUCGGGUUGUAAACCGCUUUCGCCUGUGACGAAGCGUGAGUGACGGUAAUGGGUAAAGAAGCACCGGCUAACUACGUG
rnacentral:rRNA from 1 species